rnacentral:lncRNA from 10 species
AAUCAUUUAUUAAGCAUUGCCCUGGCCUAAGACACCACAUGGGUCAUUUCUUCCAGGCUCCAACUUGCUUCUGCUUUGCCAUAUGGUAACACGCCGUAUUAUGGAAGCACCAUCAUUACCGCCAUUUGCAGGGGAAGCCUAAAGAGAUAAAUGCCAGCCAGCAUCCCUGUCUCUGGGGCCCUGGAGAGGCCUUCAACACACCUGGCCUCACUGCCCUGUGGCUUCAACAAAGAGGCCGAGCAUCUCCUAUAAACCUUGAGGUCCAUGGAUGACAUAGCGGAAUGAUGGAUUUCAGAAAAGGCAGGUGCUUCCCACUCUUUAAAUUUUUGUUUAUUCUUUCCAAGUUUCCCAUCAACAGCCCUGCAGUAAAAAUUCAGGGCUUCAGAGACAAAUAUUUCAUGAGUACAGACUGUGAUGAGGAAAAGCAAGCCAUUCCCUCUCUAUCAGGAUCCAGAGCACACUGCUGUUACGACUCCAGAACCGAUAAGGAAGCUAUGUGUGGAAGUAUGAGCUCAGGUCGCCUUCUGACCCUCUGUGACGGUCUAUUUCAGGCAGUUAUGGAUAGAUAACAUUACAGACACUGGGAUCUUUAACAAGUGACACAAACAAGAGAAGAA